AAAAAUGGACUUGGUGGGUCUUUGAAUUUAAAUAAAAUAAACAUGUAUAUGCAAAACAAAAUAUUUAUAUUCCUUGUGUAAACAUAAUUUAAUUGAUUAGGAUGAAAAUGUUUUGUUUGAAUGUAAAAUGAACACAUUAUUCUCACAUUGAUUAAAAUUGAUUGAAUUGAAUAGUUAAAGCAAUAAAAUUGAGUAAGCAAACAAAACGGCACCUCCUGAGCAGAAGGUGGCAGUAACGCUCAAUGAAAAGGACGUCAACUGCCAUAAAAGAAGAAUAAACAUCGUUUGUUUUGGGCGCCAAAAUGAAGACUCAGCAGCAGUCAGUCAGAAGAAGAACUCUCUCAGACGGACACCACGUUAUUAAAGUCCAUCAUCCUUUCAUACGCUACACACUCAAAAGCAUUGAUUAAUGCUGAAUUUAAAAAAAUCACUACUGUCUUAUGUUCCUGCGUCACCUGGACCUCCAAUCCAAAAACCUGACGAAACUCUUCUAUCAGAAAGGAGGACAGCUAGCAAAAAGACUUCAAACAAUUAAUGAUCAAAUGACAGAAGGCAUGGAUGAAGUCAGCAUCAGUGAGGUCAUUUGAAGACACCACUGUUGGGAUUUGUGCUCUCAAACAACAUGCUUCUUGAAGAAGAGGAUCUUUGUAUAGUCCUGGAAGGCAUGAAGGUGUUGCAACAUCGUGCCAUGUUGUUUGAGCUGAUGUAUGCCUUAAACCUGAGCUAUCCUGAUCUCCGCUUUAUUUUUGAGGAAAUCCAAAAGAUUUUAAUGGAACUGCAUUGAGAGUAACUUUAACG